UGAGUAACACGUGGGGAACCUGCCCCAUAGUCUGGGAUACCACUUGGAAACAGGUGCUAAUACCGGAUAAGAAAGCGGAUCGCAUGAUCAGCUUUUAAAAGGCGGCGUAAGCUGUCGCUAUGGGAUGGCCCCGCGCCGCAUUAGCUAGUUGGUAAGGUAACGGCUUACCAAGGCAACGAUGCGUAGCCGACCUGAGAGGGUGAUCGGCCACACUGGAACUGAGACACGGUCCAGACUCCUACGGGAGGCAGCAGCC
rnacentral:rRNA from 1 species